GCUUUUGUACACACCGCCCGUCGCCACUACCGAUGGAAUGAUUUAGUGAGGUCUUCGGACUGGUACGCGGCAUCGACUCUGUCGUUGCCGAUGCUACCGGAAAGAUGACCAAACAUGAUCAUUUGGAGGAAGUAAACGUCGUAACAAGGUUUCCGUAGGUGAACCUGCGGAAGGAUCAUUA
rnacentral:rRNA from 1 species